UUAUCAAACAGAAGUGAAAAUAGUAUUUGUGUUUGGCGAACAAACCUUGCAGCAAAAGCGCGUGUACGCAUGCGCGUGAGAGUCGUUCGUUGGAUAGGGUUUAAAUUCCAGCGCAGCAAUGGCAGAGCUCCUCCGAAACAUCAUAUUCAGGCGAUUUCCUUCAUCAAAGAUAUGGGCCAUUGGAAAACCACAGAGAUGCAAUGAAGAUGGGAAUCCUUGUUAGCAUCAGGAGCAUGAUGAAGUUUAAGAGCCCUGUCAACUGUGCUGAAUGUCUGCUGUCCUGGAAGAGGAGAUGAUGGUGCUCGACAAUAGGAGACUUUAUCAAUGCAUCUUCUGUGCUUUUGGAUUAUAGUAUCUACUCAACCUGGAAUACGAUGACUAAAUAGGUUCACAUGAAUGGUUGCUUCCACGAAUCCUGCGACUUCCACAUCUUCAGGUGAUUCUGAUGUAAAUCUGCUGUCCAGAAUCAGCUGGUUUGUCUUAGUCGGGCAUCUCCGCUGAGACCAGUCCACUAUGGGUGACCCUGCCGGUAUCUGUGAAGUACCAGUGGCGAAGCUCUCAGCAUCACUG